GACGAACGCUGGCGGCGUGCUUAACACAUGCAAGUCGAACGGAGUGGAGAACGGGUGAGUAACACGUAGGUGAUCUGCCUUGACCUUCGGGAUAAUCUUGGGAAACUGGGUAUAAUACCGGAUAGUGAAAGGUGAGCUCGCGGCCUAUCGGCUUGGUGGUGUGGUAAUGGCCUACCAGGGCGUCGACGGGUAGCCGGCCUGAGAGGGUGUACGGCAACAUUGCGACUAAGGUACGGCCCAGGCUCAUACGGGAGGCAUCAGUGGGGAAUAUGGCACAAUGGGAGGAAGCCUGAUGAAGCGACGCCGCGUGGGGGAUGAAGUCCUUCGGGUUGUAAACUCCUUUCGACAGGGACGCGGUACCUGUAUAAGAAGCACCGCCUAACUACGUGCCAGCAGCCGCGGUAAUAC
rnacentral:rRNA from 1 species